rnacentral:rRNA from 5 species
AGACCCGAAACCCGGUGAUCUAGCCAUGGGCAGGUUGAAGGUUGGGUAACACUAACUGGAGGACCGAACCGACUAAUGUUGAAAAAUUAGCGGAUGACCUGUGGCUGGGGGUGAAAGGCCAAUCAAACCGGGAGAUAGCUGGUUCUCCCCGAAAGCUAUUUAGGUAGCGCCUCGUGAAUUCAUCUCCGGGGGUAGAGCACUGUUUCGGCUAGGGGGCCAUCCCGGCUUACCAACCCGAUGCAAACUGCGAAUACCGGAGAAUGUUAUCACGGGAGACACACGGCGGGUGCUAACGUCCGUCGUGAAGAGGGAAACAACCCAGACCGCCAGCUAAGGUCCCAAAGUCAUGGUUAAGUGGGAAACGAUGUGGGAAGGCCCAGACAGCCAGGAUGUUGGCUUAGAAGCAGCCAUCAUUUAAAGAAAGCGUAAUAGCUCACUGGUCGAGUCGGCCUGCGCGGAAGAUGUAACGGGGCUAAACCAUGCACCGAAGCUGCGGCAGCGAACGUAUCACCCAAGACAACUUUACGGAGUUGACGAUUGACGGAGCGAAGCGACGUCAAAGCGUUCAUUAAAGUCGAGUUGGCUUAGGGAUACGUUCGUUGGGUAGGGGAGCGUUCUGUAAGCCUGUGAAGGUGUGUCGUGAGGCAUGCUGGAGGUAUCAGAAGUGCGAAUGCUGACAUAAGUAACGAUAAAGCGGGUGAAAAGCCCGCUCGCCGGAAGACCAAGGGUUCCUGUCCAACGUUAAUCGGGGCAGGGUGAGUCGACCCCUAAGGCGAGGCCGAAAGGCGUAGUCGAUGGGAAACGGGUUAAUAUUCCCGUACUUGGUGUUACUGCGAAGGGGGGACGGAGAAGGCUAUGUUGGCCGGGCGACGGUUGUCCCGGUUUAAGCGUGUAGGUGUGUGUUCCAGGUAAAUCCGGUUCACUUUAACACUGAGGCGUGACGACGAGGCACUACGGUGCUGAAGCAACAAAUGCCCUGCUUCCAGGAAAAGCCUCUAAGCAUCAGGUAACAUCAAAUCGUACCCCAAACCGACACAGGUGGUCAGGUAGAGAAUACCAAGGCGCUUGAGAGAACUCGGGUGAAGGAACUAGGCAAAAUGGUGCCGUAACUUCGGGAGAAGGCACGCUGACACGUAGGUGAAGUGAUUUACUCAUGGAGCUGAAGUCAGUCGAAGAUACCAGCUGGCUGCAACUGUUUAUUAAAAACACAGCACUGUGCAAACACGAAAGUGGACGUAUACGGUGUGACGCCUGCCCGGUGCCGGAA